AUUGAACGCUGGCGGCAUGCCUUACACAUGCAAGUCGAACGGCAGCACGGGAGCAAUCCUGGUGGCGAGUGGCGAACGGGUGAGUAAUAUAUCGGAACGUGCCCAGUCGUGGGGAUAACGUAGCGAAAGCUACGCUAAUACCGCAUACGAUCUAUGGAUGAAAGCGGGGGAUCGCAAGACCUCGCGCGAUUGGAGCGGCCGAUAUCAGAUUAGGUAGUUGGUUAGGUAAAGGCUCACCCAAGCCGACGAUCUGUAGCUGGUCUGAGAGGACGACCAGCCACACUGGGACUGAGACACGGCCCAGACUCCUACGGGAGGCAGCAGUGGGGAAUUUUUGGACAAUGGGCGCAAGCCUGAUCCAGCAAUGCCGCGUGCAGGAUGAAGGCCUUCGGUGUAACU
rnacentral:rRNA from 1 species